AGAGUUUGAUCCUGGCUCAGGACGAACGCUGGCGGCGUGCCUAACACAUGCAAGUCGAACGGCCCAGCACUUAACAGAGCAUAUAAGGGAAGUGGCUAGUGUAAAGCACAAUAGGUGCAUAUAAGCUAAGCAUUAACUCAUAUGCUGCGUUAAGUGCUGGGUAGUGGCGGACGGGUGAGUAACGCGUGGGCAACCAACCCUGUACAGUGGGAUAACACCGGGAAACCGGUGCUAAUACCGCAUGACACCUAGACAGUGCAUACUGACUAGGUUAAAGGAUUUAGCCGGUACAGGACGGGCCCGCGUCCCAUUAGCUAGUUGGUGAGGUAACGGCUCACCAAGGCGACGAUGGGUAGCCGACCUGAGAGGGUGACCGGCCACACUGGGACUGAGACACGGCCCAGACUCCUACGGGAGGCAGCAGUGGGGAAUAUUGCGCAAUGGAGGGAACUCUGACGCAGCGACGCCGCGUGAGCGAAGAAGGCCUUCGGGUCGUAAAGCUCUGUUCUUGGGGACGAAUAAGGUGACGGUACCCAAGGAGAAAGCCCCGGCUAACUACGUGCCAGCAGCCGCGGUAAU
rnacentral:rRNA from 1 species